rnacentral:lncRNA from 10 species
GUCUGGAAAUGCCUGCAUAAACCACAGACUCUGUCUUUGAAGCAAUGAAAGCAUUUUGGAAGCAACUCAGUAACUGCCUCACAGAUUCCUUAUACUCAGCUGGGGCUUUCUCAUCCACGUGAACACAGUAGACAUUUUGGGGCAUAUAGAUAGCCCUAAAGAAUAUAUAUUUAAAUAUAUAUGAUAUAUAUUAUACAUGAUAUAUAAUAUAUGAUGUAUAAUAUAAUAUAUGAUGUAUUAUAUUAUAUAUUAUAGU